UGAUGUAUACGCAGGGCCAUUAU
rnacentral:misc_RNA from 1 species